rnacentral:rRNA from 1 species
UGCCAGCAGCCGCGGUAAGACGGAGGGUGCAAGCGUUGUUCGGAAUUAUUGGGCGUAAAGCGUGCGUAGGCGGACUGUUAAGUCUGAUGUGAAAUCCCGCGGCUCAACCGCGGACGUGCAUUGGAUACUGGCAGUCUUGAGUCCUGGAGAGGAGAGCGGAAUUCCUAGUGUAGAGGUGAAAUUCGUAGAUAUUAGGAGGAACACCAGUGGCGAAGGCGGCUCACUAAACUAUUACUGACGCUCAGGAACGAAAGCAUGGGGAGCGAACAGGAUUAGAUA